rnacentral:rRNA from 1 species
UACGAAGGGGGCUAGCGUUGCUCGGAAUGACUGGGCGUAAAGGGCUCGUAGGCGGCCAACUAAGUCGGACGUGAAAUCCCUCAGCUUAACUGGGGAACUGCGUCCGAUACUGGAUGGCUUGGAUUUGGGAGAGGGAUGCGGAAUUCCAGGUGUAGCGGUGAAAUGCGUAGAUAUCUGGAGGAACACCGGUGGCGAAGGCGGCAUCCUGGACCAAUAUUGACGCUGAGGAGCGAAAGCUAGGGGAGCAAACGGG